rnacentral:lncRNA from 1 species
GCCCUCUCUCACCACUCCUAUUCAACAUAGUGUUGGAAGUUGUGACCAGGGCAAUGAGGCAGGAGAAGGAAAUAAAGGGUAUUCAAUUAGGAAAAGAGGAAGUCAAAUUGUCCCUGUUUGCAGACGACAUGAUUGUAUAUCUAGAAAAUCCCAUUGUCUCAGCCCAAAAUCUCGUUAAGCUGAUAAGCAACUUCAGCAAAGUCUCAGGAUACAAAAUCAAUGUACAAAAAUCACAAGCAUUCUUAUACACCAAUAACAGACAAACAGAGA